rnacentral:lncRNA from 1 species
GCGCCGCGUAAUUCUGUUAUCACGCGCGGCAUAGUGAUGGAUUUGCAACCACGCGCGGCGUGGUAGAUCUGGCGCGCGGCGUGGUUGCCUUCUGUAUAUAUAUUUUCUGCAUAAUUCUGUUUUCGGGUUGGAAAAUUCUGGGAAAUUGGACUACAUUCUGGUUUUGGAACUUGAAGAUCGUGAUUCAACACUCCAGCGGAGAGCUCCAAGCGCAUCAGAUCAUGGAUUCACAAGCCGUGGCGAUGAAGCGAGGAAGCGUACGAAGAACGAUGAGGAGCUAAACUCCUUCGGAGGUAGAAUCUAGGUAGUUUAGGAUGUAGUUCAGCUCAAUGUAACCUGCAAUUGUGUAAGAUCAUACUCUCUCUAUAGUGUUCAUUCAAUUCAAGUCUGUUUCUAAUGCUUUGUAAUCCUUCAUUAGUGUUAUAAUGAUUUUGAGUUAAGUCACGUGCGAGAGUAUUGAUUUAAUGUCUGAACUGAAUUGUAUUGAGCACUCGAGUGUCUCCGGUCGAGAGAUUGAGGCAUAGAGUGUAGCGAACGAUUGACGCGCGUUAAUAUCAUUCGUUGUAGGUAGCUUCCGCCCGAGAGAUCGGGGGAGUAUCGACAACGAAUAGAGUGGAUUUUGCCAAGAGAUUGCGAUUCACUAAUUUGUCGAUCUAGUUGUGAACACUUGAGUAGUUCUUAUACAUUGU